rnacentral:rRNA from 1 species
UACGAAGGGGGCCAGCGUUGUUCGGAUUUACUGGGCGUAAAGCGCACGUAGGCGGAUCGUUAAGUCGGGGGUGAAAUCCUGGGGCUCAACCCCAGAACUGCCUUCGAUACUGGCGAUCUCGAGUCCGGAAGAGGUGAGUGGAACUCCUAGUGUAGAGGUGGAAUUCGUAGAUAUUAGGAAGAACACCAGUGGCGAAGGCGGCUCACUGGUCCGGUACUGACGCUGAGGUGCGAAAGCGUGGGGAGCGAACAGG